CUUUAUGCUUUUAAUUUGAAUGCUCUGAAUGUAUGAGGUAUUAUGGGUGAAUUUGAUACCCUUUUGAUGCAUGUGUUUGACAAGAGGUUUAGGCCUCUUACCCUUGGUUGCUUUUUGUGAGCUUUUUGUGAAUUUUAAUGGCAUGAUUCAUGUGGUUACAUUUUGAUUUGGGGGCAACUCUUGAUUACCAUAUCUUGUUUCUCUAACCUGUUUGUUGAGUUUUGUUUUGUGAGGGCUCAUAUGACUCUU
rnacentral:lncRNA from 1 species